rnacentral:lncRNA from 1 species
CCCAGGUGCUGCCUUCAGGAGGGAUUAUGACAUAUGCCUGGACCAAACACCUGGAUGACGUGACACUCCUGCAUGAGCCUUGCCCUAAGGGGAUAUUUUUACAUGUUGGUGAACUCAGCAUCUAGGUGAUGUGACUCUACUCUUCUGCCUGGGCCCUGCCCACAGAGGGCAUUGGAACAUUUCACUUGGCUCAGCACCAAGAAGAUGUUACUCUCCUACCUGGACCUCUCCCACAGGGGACACCUAGAUGAUAUGAUUUUUCUUCCUGGUUCCUGCCCAGACUUCAAAUUGUGAUGUAUAUCUGGGCCCAAAACACAGGGUCCAGGCAACAGAGGAGAGACACAUCACCUAUAUGAUUGGCCCAGCGAUGGGUGAAAAUCCUCUCUGAGAGCAGGGCCCAUUCAGGAGAGUCAUAUCACCUAGCUGCUUGGCCAAGUGAAAUAUCACAAUGCACCCUUUGCACAGGGCCAAUACAGGACAGUUACAUCACCAGGGAGCUGGGUCCAGCUAUAUGUCACAAUUCCUUUUGUGGAAAGUGUCCAGGCAGAAAAGCAGAGUCACAUCACCUAGCCAGUGGGCCCAGAGAGAUGCCACAAUGCCAUUUGUAGGCUGGGGCCAAUAGAUGAAAAAAGAUGCAAAGAAGACACAUUUGCUUUUUAUGCACACAUCACUUCCAGUCACUAUGUUGAGCAGAGUCAGUGUGAGGACAAUUGAGAAUAGCAGUUUUCUGGCAGGACAGCCACUUCUCAGCAGAAGAUGACACAAUAAAAGUAUAAA